rnacentral:rRNA from 1 species
UACGAAGGGGGCUAGCGUUGCUCGGAAUGACUGGGCGUAAAGGGCGCGUAGGCGGUUGGCUCAGUCAGAUGUGAAAUUCCCGGGCUUAACCUGGGGGCUGCAUUUGAUACGUGUUGUCUUGAGUUCGGAAGAGGGUCGUGGAAUUCCCAGUGUAGAGGUGAAAUUCGUAGAUAUUGGGAAGAACACCGGUGGCGAAGGCGGCGACCUGGUCCGACACUGACGCUGAGGCGCGAAAGCGUGGGGAGCAAACAGG